ACAUCUGUUUCCUCUUCAGAUCGUUAAAUCUUUUCGCCUUUACUAAAUGAUUUCCGUGGAGAGGAACAGAAAGAGAUUCUUAGCAGAUUAUUUUUUUGAUGCCCUGUCUUAACUGUGGU
rnacentral:snRNA from 1 species